UGCGUAGGCGGAUUAAUAAGUCAGUGGUGAAAUCUUUCGGCUCAACCGAGAAACUGCCAUUGAUACUGUUAAUCUUGAGUUCGGUUGAGGUAGGCGGAAUGUGUAAUGUAGCGGUGAAAUGCUUAGAUAUUACACAGAACACCAAUUGCGUAGGCAGCUUACUAGACCGACACUGACGCUGAGGCACGAAAGCGUGGGGAGCGAACAGGAUUAGAUACCCUGGUAGUC
rnacentral:rRNA from 1 species